UACGAACCGUACAAACGUUAUUCGGAAUCACUGGGCUUAAAGCGUGCGCAGGCGGUUCGGAAAGAAAGAUGUGAAAUCCCAGAGCUUAACUUUGGAACUGCAUUUUUAACUACCGAGCUAGAGUGUGUCAGAGGGAGGUGGAAUUCCGCGUGUAGCAGUGAAAUGCGUAGAUAUGCGGAGGAACACCGAUGGCGAAGGCAGCCUCCUGGGAUAACACUGACGCUCAUGCACGAAAGCGUGGGGAGCAAACAGG
rnacentral:rRNA from 1 species